GACGAACGCUGGCGGCGUGCCUAAUACAUGCAAGUAGAACGCUGAAGGAGGAGCUUGCUUCUCUGGAUGAGUUGCGAACGGGUGAGUAACGCGUAGGUAACCUGCCUGGUAGCGGGGGAUAACUAUUGGAAACGAUAGCUAAUACCGCAUAACAGUAGAUAUCGCAUGAUAUCUACUUGAAAGGUGCAAUUGCAUCACUACCAGAUGGACCUGCGUUGUAUUAGCUAGUUGGUGAGGUAACGGCUCACCAAGGCGACGAUACAUAGCCGACCUGAGAGGGUGAUCGGCCACACUGGGACUGAGACACGGCCCAGACUCCUACGGGAGGCAGCAGUAGGGAAUCUUCGGCAAUGGACGGAAGUCUGACCGAGCAACGCCGCGUGAGUGAAGGAGGUUUUCGGAUCGUAAAGCUCUGUUGUAAGAGAAGAACGAGUGUGAGAGUGGAAAGUUCACACUGUGACGGUAUCUUACCAGAAAGGGACGGCUAACUACGUG
rnacentral:rRNA from 1 species